ensembl:lncRNA
CUCCAGUCUCCAUGGCUGGGUUUCAGAAGCAUUUCUGGGCUUACUCUUUCCCAAUGUAAACGUGCACCAGAUGUGAAGUUGGCUUUCAUCAUUUAGGACUUGAUGAAUUAUUUUACACUCUGGACCACUGGGAGAUGGAACAUGAAAAUGGUUCUCUACACCCAUGUCAUAUAAAAGAGCAUGGCUUGUUCUCCUUGUCACACGUCAAAGUGCUAGAGGCAGAGAUGAGACUUCACCAUGAUGUUCCUCACCCAACAAUUCUGUAAUGGUCGAGCUGGGGUCACCAAAACCCUUGGGGUCAGAGUCUUCUUUGGAUUGAAGAGCUCUUUGGUGCCAUUAUGAGCAACUGAGGAAAGAAAGAGGACUACAGUCAGCAGAUAUCCUGGGAAGAAGGGAGGACAGUGACAAGAACCAGCAUCUUAUAGCCUGGCUGCCAGGAAGCCAGCCCUAGAGAAUGACGUUCAGGACAAAACACAACCCAUGUUCCACUUGGCACCAAGUCCUCACUGUUUUCCUCUCUGCCCCCAUCUUCCACCUUUGGGUCAUGAAGCAAGUGGUUUUGUUCGGACGCGCACACCCACUAUGAUGUACUGCCUCCUCAUAGAUCCAAAGCAAUGGGUCCCCUGCUCACAGACCGCAGUCGUGAGCCAAGAGAAACCUCUGCUCAUUCUCAGUUGGUCACUCAAGUAUCUGGUGUCAUGAUGGCAGCUGACUCACCUAGAGACCCCCUCUUGAAAGAGCCCACGCAGAGGCGGGGAUAUACACCUGAAAUCAUGUCUAGUCAACUUGCAAUACCCAACAGAAUAUCUCUGGCCAGUCGAAUACACAGAUGUGGAGCCAGUGGACACUGGGGGCCAACUGUACAUCCACGUGGAUUCUGCCCCUCAACGAAGCAUUUGCACG